GAGCCCGUGGCUUAGCCUGACUAGAGCACUCGACUGAUAAUCGAGAGGUCGCCGGUUUAAAUCCGGCCGGGCUCA
rnacentral:tRNA from 1 species